rnacentral:rRNA from 1 species
GACGAACGCUGGCGGCGUGCCUAAUACAUGCAAGUAGAACGCUGAAGAGAGGAGCUUGCUCUUCUUGGAUGAGUUGCGAACGGGUGAGUAACGCGUAGGUAACCUGCCUUGUAGCGGGGGAUAACUAUUGGAAACGAUAGCUAAUACCGCAUAACAAUGGGUGACACAUGUCAUUUAUUUGAAAGGGGCAAUUGCUCCACUACAAGAUGGACCUGCGUUGUAUUAGCUAGUAGGUGAGGUAACGGCUCACCUAGGCGACGAUACAUAGCCGACCUGAGAGGGUGAUCGGCCACACUGGGACUGAGACACGGCCCAGACUCCUACGGGAGGCAGCAGUAGGGAAUCUUCGGCAAUGGGGGCAACCCUGACCGAGCAACGCCGCGUGAGUGAAGAAGGUUUUCGGAUCGUAAAGCUCUGUUGUAAGUCAAGAACGAGUGUGAGAGUGGAAAGUUCACACUGUGACGGUAGCUUACCAGAAAGGGACGGCUAACUACGUGCCAGCAGCCGCGGUAAUACGUAGGUCCCGAGCGUUGUCCGGAUUUAUUGGGCGUAAAGCGAGCGCAGGCGGUUUGAUAAGUCUGAAGUUAAAGGCUGUGGCUCAACCAUAGUUCGCUUUGGAAACUGUCAAACUUGAGUGCAGAAGGGGAGAGUGGAAUUCCAUGUGUAGCGGUGAAAUGCGUAGAUAUAUGGAGGAACACCGGUGGCGAAAGCGGCUCUCUGGUCUGUAACUGACGCUGAGGCUCGAAAGCGUGGGGAGCGAACAGG